AAACCAACAGGGAUUGCCUCAGUAGCGGCGAGUGAAGCGGCAUGAGCCCACUUUUGAAACCGCGCAAGCGGGUUGUAAGGGGGAGAUAUUCGCGCACCACGUAAGCAAAGUUCCUUGGAACAGGACACCGCAGAGGGUGAGAGUCCCGUAGCAGCAGUGGCAGUGCCAAGUGUCCCCAUGUGAGUCGAGUUGUUUGGGAAUGCAGCUCUAAGCGGUGGUAUACUCCAUCGACGGCUAAAUAUCAGCGAGAGACCGAUAGCAAACAAGUACAGUGAUGGAAAGAUGAAAAGCACUUUGAAAAGAGAGUGAAAUAGUACGUGAAAUUGGUAGGAGGGAAGGAUGUUGUGGGGACAUUGAAGAGCGUGGGCAGCGUGGGUGCUUGAAGGUUGAAGAAAGUAGGUUCCAACUCGUUUGAAACAACUUAUAGAUCGACUGGAAGGCAGCGGCGCUGGCCAAGGCUCGGGAACCGCACAACAUCAC
rnacentral:rRNA from 3 species